rnacentral:rRNA from 1 species
UACAGAGGUCCCAAGCGUUGUUCGGAUUCAUUGGGCGUAAAGGGUGUGUAGGUGGCGCCGUAAGUCGGGUGUGAAAUCUCGGGGCUUAACUCCGAAACUGCAUUCGAUACUGCGGUGCUUGAGGACUGGAGAGGAGACUGGAAUUCAUGGUGUAGCAGUGAAAUGCGUAGAGAUCGGGAGGAAUACCUGUGGCGAAGGCGGCCUACUGGGCCGGACCUGACGCUGAGACGCGAAGGCGUGGGGAGCGAACGGG